UACAGAGCGCUCACCAUGCGCCUAGCGGGUCGCCAGCGCUUUGCGCGCGCCAAGUCGAUGUGUCCCUGCCUGGCCCCUCUCUGUGUGUCUUCUCUCUGUUCGUUCCCCCCACCACCACUUCUCUCCAGCACCCCGGUCCCCACACUCGCUCGAUGCUGAGCCACCUCCUUCCCCGGGGCAGGGAUGGAAAGUGUCCCGCGCCAGCCGCGCGUCCCAGACCCGCCGGAGCUGCUUGGUGGGGACAGCGGAGUUCGAGCUCGGAGCCCACACGCCCCGCGCAGCCGAGCCCUGGCCCUCCCGGCGGCCGAUCUUACCUCGGGUCCUUUGUCCUCCGGCCGCCGGACCCCGCCGCCCAGAGCCCGCCGCCGUCGAAGGGCCAGCCCAGCCUGCAGGCUGCGCUCCCAGCCGCCUCGCCUGGCCCGGCCCGAGUGCGAGGCUCUCGGCAAAGCCCGGAUCUCUGGAGCCCCUGCCGGCGCGAAGGACUCGACCCCUGACCCCCGCCGCCCCCUGCAAUCCACUUCUCCGGGUCUUCCGGGCGGCCGCGCAGGAGGCCGGCCAGUGGGCUCCGCCGCCUCUGGACCCCAGCCGGGACAAGGUUGGGGAUGAGGGCGGCUCUGGGCGCAAAGCGUCGGGAGAGAGGCGGGUGACACCAGCAGCAGCGGGGCCCCUGCCUGCGCCCCAAUUUUAGCCUCCCGGGUCCUUGUCCCCGCCAAGGACGCAGUUCCCCCUCUGCAGUGUCGGGGUGCCCGCGCCCCAGGGAAGGCCACUGCGCAGGACCGCCGCCGCCCUCUCGCUGCUCGGCAGAUGCCUGGGUCCCGCGCCCGCGCCCCCCUGGAUAAGUCCAGAAAGAAAGGCCGCCCACACCUGGGGCGCCGGCCCCAGGCGGUGCGCUCUGCGUUGGCCAGUAUCGCUUCCUUCUCCGCCCUCAGAGAGGGACUCCUCCCAGCCUCGACCCGUCCUGUGCCCAGGUGCACGCACCCCGCCAUCCCCGCGCGGCCACGCUGGACUCCCCACCGCCCACCCCGACUUAGCACCGGAGGGGUCUGGAUGGAAGUUGGAAGAAACCUUGGAGGAUAGAGGUCGUUUUGUCGCUUGGAACGCAGCGGGUCUAAGAGGCAGCGGGAGCGGAAUCCAGGUUCCUGACCGCUCCCACCCCAGGAGACCCCAGUACCUUACUCAGGCGGUCCCGGCAGAGUCCUGAAACCUCAGCGCCCGCGGGUCCCUUAGGUGCAGUCGUGGACUGACGGCGGGACCCCCUGCGGCCCCUGCCCUCCCCUACCUACCGCCGAUCCGCUGGACCAACGCGGUUUGCAGGGGCGAGUGGAGGGGCAGCGCUUGAGUCCCCAACUAGUCGAGAUCGGUAAGCAGCCCACGGUGAGGCUGUCUGAGGCCCGCAGACUAAAAAGAAGAUUCUGGAACUAUGGGCACCUGUGGGUGGAAUCUGAACAACUUUUCCUGGUGCCAGUGUCGGUCAAAAGGGUGAGUGAAGAAGGAAGGAAAAAGCAAACCUCAAAUGAUGUGUUGUAGUGCCGCAGGCCUGUGAUCCCAGUGGCAUGGGAAGCUGAGACAGGAGAAUCUCAAAGCCAGCCUCCUCAGCAAAGGCGAGUUGCUAAGCAACUCAGAUCAAAUACAAAAUAGAGCUGGGGAUGUAGGUCGGUGGUCGAGUACCCCGGUACCAUAAAUAAAUAGAUAGAUAGAUAGAUAGAUAGAUAGAUAGAUAGAUAGAUAGAUAAAUGUAUUGUGUUCAUCUACAAUGAAAAAAAUAAAUAUAUAAAAAAUUAUUGUGCUGCAGACCUCACUGGUGGCCAUUGCAGAGGUGGCCCACAACAAUGAGCACGGAAAAGUCGAGUAAAACUCGAGGAAGCUGGGUCGACAAAGGGAACUUCUUUUUCUUUCUUUUUUAAAGCAAAAGACUGACCUCGGUGUUUUCAGGAACCUGCCAGCAGCAGAAGGGAGUCAGGAGACCCCCCCUGUACCUUCCUGCCACUCACUCUGAGGACCCCUGAGGACUUGGACCAGUGUAAGGGCCAACUUCCUUGAAAGCUGGGGAGAAAGUCACAGUAGGAAGUUGAGUGGUUAAAGGAGAAAAGGGGUGAGAACACAGGGCCCAGCAAAGGCCAGAACGUGUCUCCAGAAGGAAUCUCUGGGGGUCUCUGUACUCUGAUGGGCAGAACCAUCAUUUUCCUUUUCUCCUUUUCUCCUUAUGAAAUAUUUCGAACAUACCAGACUAGGGAGGGUAACAUCAUGAGCCAUGAGUCCAAGAAACUGCCAAUGCCAACAUCCUGCCAUACUUGAUGGAGGUGUUUAUGUAAGAAAAUCAGUAUCGCAGUACAGCUAAAGUUGGCGACAGCCCUCCCACCUGUUUUUCCCUCCCCAUUCCAGCCCUAGUACUCUUCCAAAGUAGCCCAUCCAUGCUUUUAUGCUGUCAGUUUGUAUGCAUGUAUUCAUAACAUACAGAGCACUUUUACUAGCUUUACAACUUUCUCUGUUAUCAAGCUUGCUCAUUAUCUAACCUGGUUGUUUUGUCUCAUUCGGCCCUGGAUCAGGUUUGUAAGAUCCGUCUGUUCAUACACACAGAUCUAGUUUAUUCAUUUUACAGCUCAAUAGUAUUCCAUUACAUGAAAAUGACACAAUUUACAAUGACUGUAAAUGUCUUCUGUUGAUGGCCAUUUGUUUUGAUCAAGAUUAUAUAAGCAAGAACAGCAGUUAAAACUCUUGAAAUUGCAUUUGUUUCCAUUGAAAUCACUCUGGUAAAAACAUACACAGAGUAACCAUGUUGCGUUAACAUUAACCAAAACGUUUGCUUUGUGGCUGGGGUUAGUUAUUAGCACACUUGCUAAGCCAAUUAUCACUGUAGGAAAUGGCCUUACAUCUUUCCCCUUU
rnacentral:lncRNA from 1 species